GAUGAACGCUAGCGGCAGGCCUAAUACAUGCAAGUCGAGGGGCAGCACGGUAGCAAUACUGGUGGCGACCGGCGCACGGGUGCGUAACACGUAUACAAUCUGCCUUUAACAGGGGGAUAGCCCGGAGAAAUCCGGAUUAAUACCCCAUAACAGUUCGAAUAGCAUUAUUUGAAUUUGAAAGCUCCGGCGGUUAAAGAUGAGUAUGCGUCUGAUUAGCUAGUUGGUGAGGUAACGGCUCACCAAGGCGACGAUCAGUAGGGGAUCUGAGAGGAUUAACCCCCACACGGAUACUGAGACACGGAUCCGACUCCUACGGGAGGCAGCAGUAAGGAAUAUUGGACAAUGCCCGCAAGGGUGAUCCAGCCAU
rnacentral:rRNA from 1 species